AGCAGCUGCGAUAAUUCCAGCUCCAAUAGCGUAUAUUAAAGUUGUUGCAGUUAAAAAGCUCGUAGUUGAAUUUCGGGGUUAGUAGGCUGGUCAUGCCUCCGGUAUGUACUGGUCUCACUGAUUCCUCCUUCCUGAUGAACCGUAAUGCCAUUAAUUUGGUGUUGCGGGGAAUUUGGACUGUUACUUUGAAAAAUUAGAGUGUUUAAAGCAGGCUAACGCUUGAAUACAUUAGCAUGGAAUAAUGAAAUAGGACGUUCGAUCCUAUUUUGUUGGUUUCUAGGAUUGACGUAAUGAUUAAUAGGGGAUAGUUGGGGGCAUUAGUAUUCAAUUGUCAGAGGUGAAAUUCUUGGAUUUAUUGAAGACUAACUACUGCGAAAGCAUUUGCCAAGGAUGUUUUCAUUAAUCAAGAACGAAAGUUAGGGGAUCGAAGACGAUCAGAUACCGUCGUAGUCUUAACCAUAAAACUAUGCCGACUAGGGGAUCGGACGAUGUUAAUUUUUCUUGACUCGUUCGGC
rnacentral:rRNA from 1 species